GACGAACGCUGGCGGCGUGCCUAAUACAUGCAAGUCGACCUUAUUGGCGAACGGGUGAGUAACACGUGCGUAACCUGCCCAUCAGAAGGGUAUAACACUUGGCAACAGGCGCCAAUAUCGUAUACUGAUGGAUGGACUCGCAGUGCAUUAGCUAGUUGGUGAGGUAACGCCUCACCAAGUCCCCGAUGCAUAGCUGAGCUAAGGGGGUAAGCGGCAACAUUGGGACUUGGGCACGGUCCAAACUCCUACGGGAGGCAGCAGUAGGGAAUAUUCGGCAAUGGACGAAAGUCUGACGAAGCAACGCCGCGUGAAUGAAGAAGGUUGUCGGAUCGUAAAACUCUGUUGUUAGAGAAGCGGUAUCUAACCAGAAAGCCACGGCUAACUGCGUGCCAGCAGCCGCGGUAAUAC
rnacentral:rRNA from 1 species